rnacentral:rRNA from 1 species
GACGAACGCUGGCGGCGCGCUUAACACAUGCAAGUCGAACGGAAAGGCCCUGCUUUUGUGGGGUGCUCGAGUGGCGAACGGGUGAGUAACACGUGAGUAACCUGCCCUUGACUUUGGGAUAACUUCAGGAAACUGGGCUAAUACCCGAAAGGAGCUCCCUCCUCCAUGGGGGGGUUGGGAAGUUUCGGAGGGUGGGGAAGGACUCGGGGCUUAUCAGCUUGGUGGUGGGGUAGUGGCUUUCCAAGGCUUUGACGGGUAGCCGGCCUGAGAGGGUGACCGGCCACAUUGGGACUGAGAUACGGCCCAGACUCCUACGGGAGGCAGCAGUGGGGAAUAUUGCACAAUGGGCGGAAGCCUGAUGCAGCAACGCCGCGUGCAGGAUGACGGCCUUCGGGUUGUAAACCGCUUUCGCCUGUGACGAAGCGUGAGUGACGGUAAUGGGUAAAGAAGCACCGGCUAACUACGUG